rnacentral:rRNA from 1 species
GACGAACGCUGGCGGCGUGCCUAAUACAUGCAAGUAGAACGCUGAAGAGAGGAGCUUGCUCUUCUUGGAUGAGUUGCGAACGGGUGAGUAACGCGUAGGUAACCUGCCUUGUAGCGGGGGAUAACUAUUGGAAACGAUAGCUAAUACCGCAUAACAAUGGAUGACACAUGUCAUUUAUUUGAAAGGGGCAAUUGCUCCACUACAAGAUGGACCUGCGUUGUAUUAGCUAGUAGGUGAGGUAACGGCUCACCUAGGCGACGAUACAUAGCCGACCUGAGAGGGUGAUAGGCCACACUGGGACUGAGACACGGCCCAGACUCCUACGGGAGGCAGCAGUAGGGAAUCUUCGGCAAUGGGGGCAACCCUGACCGAGCAACGCCGCGUGAGUGAAGAAGGUUUUCGGAUCGUAAAGCUCUGUUGUAAGUCAAGAACGAGUGUGAGAGUGGAAAGUUCACACUGUGACGGUAGCUUACCAGAAAGGGACGGCUAACUACGUG